ACCUGGAAGGAAGAAAUGUCUGAAAAAUUAAAUCAACAAAUGGAAGAGGUAAAUGUUAAACUUAAUUUGAUGGAAUCUAACUUUAACUCUAGGUUGGAUCCCAUUAUCGAUACAGUAAAUCACGCUGCAGA